UAUAUAUAUAUAUAUAUAUAUAUAUUUACAUUAUUGUCGCUUUAAAAACGUUUCACGCAAUUUCAGUUCAAAAAGAAAUAGUUAUAUGCACAAAUUGGAGAAACGUUUAAAGCUAAAAGGUAAGGGAUGUAUUGAGGAUGUAAGGAAAAAAUAGCAUUCGUCAAAAUUUGUAAUAAUAAACGCGAGUAAAAAAAAUAGUGUCCACAUAAGUACAUAUAUAUAUAUAUAUAUAUAUAUAUAUAUUGAACAAGCGAAACGAACGCGUAUUUCGUAAAAACGGAUAUAGCCGGGCAGGCUUUUCACUUGUUCAUAUUCUAAACGAAUAAUAUACACUCAUAUAUACAUGUACAUAUAUGAGCACAUUUGUGCUUAUAAAUACGUAUAUAAAGGAUUGUACCAUAACAUACGUGAAUAAAUAUACAUAUAGACAACAAAAAAAAAAAAAAAAAACGCAUACACAUACACAUACACAUACGACAGAAAAAAAAAACACAUACACAUACGACAAAAAUGAAAAGGCUCGGAGUAAACACAGACGUGGGCGUCAAUUUAAACAAUCCAAAUAACAACAUUUUAAAAAAGCAUAUAGAAGUGAGUAAAAAUAUAAGGAGGCUAAGCUUUUUGAACAAUAAAAAUAAUGAAGAUAAUAAUAAUGUUAAUAGCGAACAUAAAGGUAACAAAGUAAAAAUAAAAGAAAUUAAUGAUGUGUUUAAAAAUUGUAUGGCAGCAUUAUCACAUAACAAAGUGUGUACGAGAAAUGCAUUUGAUAUCAGGAUCAUCGAACAUUUAGAAGAUUUAGUUAAUUUAAAUGAUGAGGAAAUAAAUGAAGAAUUAAAUAAAGAAUUAAUAGAAAGCGGUGAAGUUAAUUUAUCAUUCACGAGAGCUUCGAAAGCUAUAGAGGGUGCUACAAAAGUGUAUGGGUAUAGAGUUGAGGCUAUAUAUGAUCAAACAUAUAAUUUUAUAUCUAAUAUGAACAUAGUAAAACAAAGUGAAAUACAAGAAGAAGUAAUAGAUGAUGAUAAAAUUAAUGCAACAAGCGAAUUAACGACUAAAAGAAUGAAAAAAAGAAAAUUAGAAAUUUUCCAAGAGUCAUCAACAUUAGCUAAACCAUCUGAUAUUACAAUUGAUAAUUUAGUUGUGUCAAAUAUAUCUGUUGAUACUUUUUUUUUAAAAUUAAAUGCUACUUAUGAUCAUAGCAUGUGUCAAAAUUAUUUGUUAAGCAAUUUAGUUUUAAAUGAUGAUUUAUCGAUACAGUUUGAUGGGGAUAUAGAUGUAUGUGAGUAUAAGUUGAGAAAGAAAAAUAAAGAGAAGAUUAAUGAUGGUCAUUUUGGUACUUUUGGGGAUGGUGUUACUACUGUUGGUGUUGAUUUGAAAAAUAAAAAACGUAAAUCGCAUCGCGCAAGUGUCAUGAAUAAUCACAUAAAUAGAGGCAGUAGUAAAGAAUGUCGCUACGAUGACGGAGGCCGGUAUGAAAACGGAGACAACAAAGAUGAGAUGUUGUCCGAGCGUUAUAAGCAGCAAAUCUAUUUAAAUGGAAAUAUACUAAAAGAUAUACUACAAAUUGAUAGUGAAAAUAGUAGUGAAAAUUUGAAUCAUUUAAAUAUAUGUCCCGAAUUAAAUUAUUUCAAAGAGGAAGUAGAUAAACAUAGACUAAAAAAAAGUGAUUCUAAAAGUUACGAUGAAAUAGAUGAUACUCAUUAUGAUUUUAAUUUGAACGAUCAUAAAGGAAAGUCACAUAUGAUCAUGAAUAAAAUGGAUAAUUCAUAUGAAUAUGAAAAUAAAAAAGAUUUUAAUGCAAGUGAUAGUGGUAUAUUAUCUAUGGAUAUGAUGAAUGAAUUUGAAGAUAAUAAUUUUAAUAGUAGUAUAAUAAAAUGGUCAGAUAAGAAAAAUUUGAAUAAUAGCAUUAGUCAUAGUAUGAAUCAUAGUGUUAAUCAUGUAGCUAACUCUGGUAAUACAAACAUCGGGAAUAGUUUAGGUAUAGAUUACAAUCGAAUAGAUGAUUUGAAUAUAGAGAAUGUAAUGCAAGAGUCUAUGGCAUUUGAUAUGAUGAAUUUAAAUGAUUCGUUUGGAAAUAAUAUAAACAUGUCACAAAACACUUUUGCAUUAAAUGAACAACACCAUAACUCUUCAUCAAAAUAUCAUUUACCUGAGUUAAUAAAAAGUCAGGAAAAAGACAUUAGUAUGUUAAACCAUUCAUUAUCUGGUAACUUUCAUUUGGGUAGUCAUCACAUGAUGUCACUUAAAGGUCAAUCAUCCCAGUUGUUAGGCCCAAACCAACAUGUUGGUGCAUUAACAAAAAAUAGUAUGAUAUCAAUUAUACCUGAUGAUGAUGUUUUAUGGGACCGUAAUAUCCUUACAUUUGAAAAUCGAAUAAACGCAUUGGAUGCACCUAAUAAUGAUAUUAAAUUUAAUUAUCAUUAUUAUAACCCGAGUAAAUUAAUGGCACAUAGUAAUUUACGUAGCUUAUUUAUGGAUUUUGGUAAACCCAACGUUGAAAAAAAUAAACAAUCACUUGUUAAUAAUAUUUUACUGCAAAAGAAGUUAAAAACAUCUUUUCAAGUAACAGAUAUAAAUUUUGAAAAUUUAUAUGUCGAAAUAAAUGAUGUAGAAUUAUCUAGUUACGAUUUAUGGAAGAAAGAAAAAAAAAAAUAUAUAUCCAAUGCUUUAUUUUCGAUUGAUCACACUUCAUACAUUUUUGAAACAAAAGAUAAUUGUAUUCGUUGUAUUAAUACAGUUGUUGAUAAAAUAAUGAAGUUUACAAAGACAGCAGUUACGAAUUCACAAAAAAAUAUGCAUCAUGAGAAUGGUAAUAGUAGCAUGACUAACCAGUAUGAUAACACAGAUGUACAUUUAGAUGUAGUACUAAACGAUAUUAAUGAUGAUUUUAUUGCAAACGAUUUAGAUAUAACACAAACAGGAGAAAAUAAAAAUGGUACAAGCAUGUAUGCAGAAAAUAUGGAUGAUAUGCAGGAUAUUGAAUUACAAGGGAAUUUUAAUGAUGCCAUAGACAAAUAUUAUAAUAUGGAUUUUGAAGAUGUUUGGGAAAAUGAUAAUAAAAAGGAUUUAUCAAAAGAAGCAAGCAAUAAAACUGAGCAUAGUGCUAUGUUACAGUUGCAAAAAAGUGCUUCACGUUCUAAUUCGAUGGGACAUGCGAAUUUUGAAAGUCUCUCUAAAUUUGUCGAUGUGUCGAAGGUGAAAAAGAUACUUUGUGACGUAGUCAAGCCGGAUGAAAAUGAUGCUCAAAACAGUUCGGAUCAGGCGGACGAUGGUAUUCGAAAUGGCCAGAUUGUUCCUUACGAGGGAGAAAAGACUACUACUUUUAUGGAUAUUUUAGAGAAGGUAAUAUUAUUUAUAGACGUAUGGAUAUGUUCAAUUAUUAACGGAUUGUAUUUGAAUGGGUAUGAAUGGGGUUGUGUAUACAUUAUUGUAGCAGCUACAUGCACACACAUAUAUGUGCAUUUAUAUGUUUUAUUUUUAUAUUUAGACAAAGGAAAAAUUAAGCGAACCAGAAGUAAAAGGCCUAUCAGUACAUAUGCUUUUUGUUUGUCUACUGUACACAUGCAAUGAUCAAGGUAAUGCUUCUUAAACUUGUAGCGAAAUACAUAUAUAUAUAUAUCUGACAAUGAGAAUGUGCAUCAGUUAAUAUGUUUUGUUGAAAACUUCCGCUUUAGAAUACAUUGUCAUU
rnacentral:lncRNA from 1 species